UACGUAGGGGGCAAGCGUUGUCCGGAAUCAUUGGGCGUAAAGCGCGUGUAGGCGGCCCGAAAAGUCUGGUGUGAAAACUUGAGGCUCAACCUCAAGCUGUCACUGGAUACUGUCGGGCUUGAGUCUGGAAGAGGAGAGUGGAAUUCCUGGUGUAGCGGUGGAAUGCGCAGAUAUCAGGAGGAACACCAAUGGCGAAGGCAGCUCUCUGGUACAUGACUGACGCUGAGACGCGAAAGCGUGGGUAGCAAACAGG
rnacentral:rRNA from 1 species